rnacentral:tRNA from 1 species
UAGCUCAGUUGGUAAAGAAUCUGCCUGCAAUGCAGGAGACCUAGGUUCGAUCCCUGG